AAGAAAUAACCCGGCCCAAUGUAAUGGCCCAACGAAAUAUAAAUGGGCAUAUGGAAUAAUAGUCCAUCAUAAACUUUACAUUAGCCCAAAUCUUUAAACAAUUAGAGCCCAUCAGCAAAUUAAAGAAAAAGGCCCAAACUUAAAAUAACUCGGCCCAAUUAACAAGGGAGUGGCCCAAAACAUAGCCCAAUUUCUCUCUCUCUUUCUAAACUCUCGAUCUCUCUCUCAUUCUCAAAUUCAAGGCCGCUCGUCCUCCUUCUUCUCUCUCUCAAAAAAUGUCGGUUCUCUCUCUUUCUCAAGGGGCCGCUCGCUCGCCCCUUCAAAAUCGAUCGGCCUCUUCUCAUCUCUGGUCGGCGUCAUCUUCCUCAGUUGUUCAGCCGUCAUCGUCUCUGAUCAGCUUCGGCUGCCGACGCGUCAACCUCAGCGCCGUUCUCUCUCCUCAGCGCAGAGCACCCAAAAUUGUGCCCUGGGUCUGAAUCGUCAUCGUUGCCGCCGAAAUUGGGCGGUUAUUCGCCGCCUGGGAGCGGCGUUGCUCCGGCCUGGAGCCGCCGCCGGCUGGAGUUGCUGCUGUUCGUCCGGUGGUCAGUGCCGACUGCUGCUGUUUCGCCGGAGUCGCGGCCUGCUGGACUUCGUCUGCCGCUGUUUUGUGAACCGGCGGGAGUCGCCGUUGGCGUCGCGCUGCCUUUGCCCUAAAAUUGGCAAGGCUGUUGCUCGACGCUCCGCCUCCUCUAUUGGGAACUACCGCCUCCCUGUAACGUCGUUGGAAGCUGCUCCGUACUCGAGCCCCUGCUCUUCUUCCUCAGAAAUCAGCCGUCGCCGCCACUGAAGAAUCGGCGAGGUCUCCGUGCUCCCCUCAUUGUUUUCGUCCGGCAGGUAGCCAGCCAGAGGCUGCCACCGCCACCGCCAAGGGGCAGUCGCCCUCCUCCUCGUUUAUUGAAACAGGUGAGUAAAGAAUGAAUGGAGGUAGGUUGCUGCUGAAUUGUUUGCUUGAAGGAGUGUUGGCUAGUAGCCUUAAAGAAUCGAGAUGGUGGAGGUGGUUUGAAUAGGUGGGGAGCAAUAGGUAGUGGGGUGGCAGCACACUUAUUUUGCUUUCCACUAACUUUAUGGACAUUUCUAUCUCUCUUCUUUAAUUGUUGUGCCAACUAGAGUGAGUGGCAGUAAGGUGGCCACGUAAAUUCAACCUUGUAAUAUACUAUAUGAUUUUCCCCAAGCUGGGAAGUAGACUGUAUUCGUGAACUAUAAUAAUAUACUGGUUUCUAUUCUCUAUCA